UGGGGAAUCUUGCACAAUGGGGGCAACCCUGAUGCAGCGACGCCGCGUGAGCGAUGAAGGUUCUCGAAUCGUAAAGCUCUGUCCUAUGGGAAGAUAAUGACGGUACCAUAGGAGGAAGCCCCGGCUAACUACGUGCCAGCAGCCGCGGUAAUACGUAGGGGGCGAGCGUUGUCCGGAAUUACUGGGCGUAAAGGGUUCGCAGGCGGCAUGGCAAGUCCGAUGUAAAAGGCGAAGGCUCAACCUUCGUAAGCAUCGGAAACUGUCAAGCUUGAGUGAAGGAGAGGCAAGUGGAAUUCCUAGUGUAGCGGUGGAAUGCGUAGAUAUUAGGAGGAAUACCGGUGGCGAAGGCGACUUGCUGGACUUCAACUGACGCUGAGGAACGAAAGCGUGGGUAGCAAACAGG
rnacentral:rRNA from 1 species